AAUAUCAGAGAACCAAAUAAUGUCACCACCUCUGUACUAACAACCAACAUUUUAGCAUAAGCAGUAUCACAGGAAUGUUUACUUGCACAUCAGGAGUAUCACAAUUACAACUAAAGAGGCAUUGUCCUCGGUGUUGUCCUUGAGCCCUUCACAAGGAGAGUUCCAAGCCUCGCAACUUCUUCCUCCAGCUCUGCACAUGACCCUCAGUUACGAACCUCGUCCCUCAGCAAUUAGACUCCGGUAGUUUGCAAACUCCCAUUUCCCAUUGCAGAUUGAUUUACAUGGCUACUCUCACCAAUGAGAGGACCAAGCACAGAAAAGAUUCAGAACUUUUGGAAGCAAAAUUUAUAGAGCUAUGAGGUCUCUGAGCACUUACCAUGCCUAAUCGCAUGAAUCCAACAAAUUUGCCAACUCAAAUGCUACAAAGACCAAAUGAUGGUGUGAGGCAGCUCACCAUAUAUUAUCGACUCUUACAAUGAUAGAUCCAUAGAUCAGCGAGGAUAUUCAUAAAUGCUUCACCUAAGAAGGCCAAGAUGCCAUACACACAAUUAGAGCCAAAACAACACUUGAAGCAGUGGAAAUAGCCAUCCACUUGCUGGAGGAAAUAAAUGAAAUAACAAGCAAGAAGAAAGCAAAAUGAUGUCGGCAGUGUAUCAAACAAUCGUACUGAAAUGAUCAAUACACAAAAAAAGGAAGCGAUCUCUAGUUGUCAACGCACUGAAUUUAGCAUAUAAAUGACAUGGUGACUAAAAUAAUUACCUUAGAUCAUCUUAGGAAAUGUUCCAGCAAAGAAGGCAAUGACUUUUCCGUAUCACCCAUAGCAUGAUUUUUUCAACUUCAAAUCGUAUGAUACCAUGGACUCUGCAUAUGUUGAUAGGACAUAAUAAUUAGCCACAAAAAACAGGGGUACGGAUAACACAUUGAAAGUAAAAGCUGAGAGCAAAUUUAAUGCUUACAGCAAAGAAUGGGCACAGAUAACUUACUGGUUCAUCUGCCACUACUUUAUUAUCUAUGAAGAAACUAAAAGUCAAAUAUACAACUAAAUCAGGAAUAAGAACACCAUAAUAAUUAGCUACAAAAAACAGGGGUACGGAUAACACAUUGAAAGUAAAAGCAGAGAGCAAAUUUAAUGCUUACAGCAAAGAAUGGGCACAGAUAACUUACUGUUUCAUCUGCCACUACUUUAUUAUCUAUGAAGAAACUAAAAGUCAAAUGUACAACUAAAUCAGGAAUAAGAACACCAUAAAACACUGGGCUUGGUCUGCAUGCAAACCAUUAAUCUGAUUGGAGAUGGAAAAUUAACCAAUAUUGUACCUCGUGCAUUGGCACGGGUCUCGCCGAUCUGAGCCUGGCAACAAAACAUACCAGCAUGUAAAGGAAGGGUUGUAGAAAAAUUAAGAGAAGCAGAUGCCAAGUAAACAAAAAGCAUGUAUCUUAGUCAU
rnacentral:lncRNA from 1 species